rnacentral:tRNA from 1 species
GCCUGGUUGGCUCAGUCGGUAGAGCAUGUGACUCUUGCUUUUGGGUCAUGAGUUCAAGUCCCACAUUGGGCA